rnacentral:rRNA from 1 species
GAUCCUGGCUCAGGAUGAACGCUGGCGGCAGGCCUAACACAUGCAAGUCGAGCGGCAGCACAGAGAGCUUGCUCUCGGGUGACGAGCGGCGGACGGGUGAGUAAUGUCUGGGAAACUGCCUGAUGGAGGGGGAUAACUACUGGAAACGGUAGCUAAUACCGCAUAAUGUCGCAAGACCAAAGUGGGGGACCUUCGGGCCUCAUGCCAUCAGAUGUGCCCAGAUGGGA